AUUACACGAGACCAGAGGAGAAACGCUCUGAGCCUGCAGCUCUGCCUCCAGCUCCAGUCAAAGUACCUGAAACAAAGAAGCCGCAGCCAGAUGCAGCUGUCACUGCUCUGCCUCAGAGAGAAGAACCUCUGGCCCUGGAAGAACCUGAACCAGAACCUGAACCAGUGAGAGUUCCCAGAAAGGUCAUUCCUGAACCUUACCAACCCGAGCCAGCAGCAGAGCCUGCAGUGGUUCCUUC